AAACACACACAAACACAUGAUAAAAAUGCCCCUAAGAAACUUCACAUGAACAAAACUGCAUUCUAAGACUUUGGGAAAAAAGAAAAAGGACCUGAGAUUUAUAAUAGGCAUGCCAUUUAUGUGCAAUAGGAUGGUCCAUGGUAGAGAUCUUCCAAAUAGCUGUGUAUCAUUAUUCUGGCUCAGAUCAGUCACCUGGAUGACAAAAGUGAUGCAAACCACAGCUCGCCGUGCAAACCUGGAAGCUCACGGUCCAUCAGGCUGGGAGGACUGAGAGAGUGAAUAUGUGUGAAGCCCUGAGAACAGGUCCCGGCAUACUAUCCUUUGGGGCACACAGGAAGAGCAUGGGCAGCUGGCCCGGGACCCAUGUAUCACUGGAACCGAGCAGGAGAGGCCCCUGCUCAGCCUUGAAAACGCACUUGCCCUUGUCACGCACAGAAGCCCCAGACCUGCUGUCCCUCCCCAUUCGUUCUUUCAGCCCGCUAGUCCACACAGUGAGCUGAGGGCUAUGGUACCCAGCAUGGCGCAAGGGCCUGUGGGGGACAUGCCCACAGCCUUCAGAGCUGUGCAGGGCCCCCUGGGUCACCACUGGAGAAGUGAAUCACCACUUCCAAGGGCCUAACGGGACCCUUUCGUCUUUCAGAAGCCCCUAUCCUUGUCACCCUCUUGGAUCGUGAGUUUGGAAGGAGAAGAAGCUGGGCAGAAAUCACCGAAACCCUCUUGGGUCUGCUCUCCCGUGCUGUAAAUCUCACGGAACAGGCCAUCUGGUCCAGUUCUGCCACAGCAGGACAGUGUCACGGCGUUAGUCAUACAGAAGGUCUGUUUACCAGGGCGGAUUUUCAGAUUCCAGAGAACCUGAAGGACGCAGCACAGCUAAGUAACAUUCGUGUUUAUCCAUCAGUCCCCUGUGAGUUUGUUCAACAUGGGUCAGUUUCCCUAUUUGUUCCCAUAGAUUGGUAACUGCCGGCACUGGACACAAGCUGGGAUUUUCUGUUGUAAACCUUUUGCUCCACCUAGGGCUGGGCUCAGGCGCAAGGUUACGCAUAGCUCUGACCAUAUCAGAAGGAACACAAAGGCCAUCCCUGUGGAUGAAGCAUUCCCAUGAGGCAAGCCCAGAGAUAUCCUCCCCUAUCCUUUCUCAUUUCACCCUGUCCUCAUCAUCAUUCCUCUCCAAGGAGUCUGCCAGAAGGGUCUGUGCCCAGGUCAGUCAGGAUCUGUUUUCCAAGAGGUACCCUGGGACCACAGUGGGGACACGCAGUCACAGUCGUCCUCUGACGGCACCCUACAACGACUGUGAUAAGAAGCCACUGUCUCCAAAUCUCGUUCCCCAUCCUGUAGGGCAGGAGCCUGAGGCAUCUCAGCGUAGGGCUGCUUUGGAGAGGAAGACACCAGGCAAGCUGACCUGCCACCUUGGCCAGUGACACCUGCUUUGCUUCCACCAUAAUCAGCGCAUCGGAAGAGCAGCCUCAGGCAGGUGCCCAGAACUGGGGGGGAAUUUCCCUCAAAGAGGAGCGCCCUCUGACCAGCCAAUACCGUAUCUCCCUCCACUCAUCUUCAAAGCUGCCUUUCUCAGUGCAAAUCCGUGAGCUGGCAGCACAACCAGGCUCUCUAAAGCAGGAGGAGGCCAAGAAGGAGAUGCCUUCAGUCCUCUGCCCAUCACCUGCCAGAGAACCAGGAUACUUGGUGGCAGUUGGCCUACCUUUCUCCAAACAGCCAUCUGUUGUGACAUCACUGUCAGCUGAGCCCGACUCUUCACUUAUAUCAGCCAGCUUCCAGAGUGUGCUGUGUGCCCAGGUACUUAUCCAAGAAAGAAGAAAACACAUGUUCAUGAAAAGACUCUUACAUAAAUGUUCAUAACAGCUUUAUGUGUGAUAGCCACAAUUGGAACAAUCCAAAUGCCCGUCAAUAAUGAAUAAAUGAACGUGGUAUAAAUGAACAGCCAAACAGAUUGUGGUAUAUCCAUACAAUGGAAUAUUACUUGGCAACGAACAAGGAGAAACUAGUGAUAUAAACAACAAGAUGCAUGAGUCAAAAUAAUUAUGCUGAUUGAAUGAAGCCAGACAAAAAGGAAUUUAUAUAAAACUUUAGAAAAUGAAAACUAAUCUGUUAUAAGGAAAAGCAGAUCAGUGGUUGCCUGGGAGGAAAGGUCCGGGGAACCAGAAGGACAGAUCGUGAAACAGGUGAUGGAUAUGGUUGUUGUCUUCAAUGUGGUGAUGGUUUCAUGUGUCAAGACUUGCCCAUUUUACACUUUAAAUGUAUGCAAUUUAUUGUACCAAUUAGGCUUCAGUAAAGACAUUUAAAAAGUUAAAGAAAACAUAUGCCAUAUCAGUCACAGGGAUUAGGUAUAUACCCUUGCCUUAAAUAACUAGAAAACCAGAAAAAGUAUAUGAAACAACCACAUACAACAUUGGACGACAGUCAAGGCACGACUGUGGAGGGAAACUAGCAAGGUGCCUCCUGUGAUGGCACCAGCUCAUUGUCUAGAGAGAACUCAAAUGAAGCUGAUGGGCUUGUGGACUUGAGACAGAGUUCAGAGUUUCUGGAGACCAAGAACGUUCACAUUUUCAGGGCAGUGUGCCAGAGAGAAGGGAGUUCUACACACGGAGAAAAACCCCAUUGUCUGGUUAGAAACCUUGUCUUUGAUCUCUGAUCAUUGACUGCCUGUGGAAAAAUUCCUUGAGGCAAGAAAAAGAACCAUCUAAAAGGAGCAGAUGGAUCAAUUUCUGGAGUUUUUACAGGGCUGCAAAUCAUUGGCAUUCUCACCAGCCAAAGUGCAGACCCUGUAUCACAUGGGUUGUGUCCUCAGAAGGGUAUUCCCUUAAUCACAGUGCUAAAUUAGUCCUCGACUAAAUGUUGUUCUGGACAAAGUUGAAACGCAAGCCCUGAAUAGAUUAAACUGUUUCCAAGUAACUGUGAGCCAGAGCAAAGUCCAAUACUCUCUCCAGGAAUCAAACAAAAUCUGAUACCUAAUACUGUAAAAUGUCCAUUACCUAGCAUCCAAUAGAAAAUCACCAGGCGUGCCAAACAGCAGGAAAAUAUGACUUGUAACUGGGACGAAAAAAAAAUAGAAAUAUGCCCAGAAAUGGCAGAGAUGAUGAAACUGGCAGGCAAAGACGUUAAAAUCGCUAUGAUAAAUCUUAUAAAUAUAUUCUAGGAUGUUAAAGGAAACCAUGAACUCAAUUAUGAGAGAAAUAGAAGACAUAAAAGAAAACUCAAGUGGAACAUCUGGAGGUGGAAAACACAAUAGCUGAAAAACAAAUUGUGAACAAAAAUCAUCGUCUCAUUGUUAGUGGAACUCACUUUGAGCCUGUCAAGUGAUCACUGAAUCAUCUCUUCCUUGGAGACGCUUCCUUGGCUGGGACAAACUUAGUAUUCUGUGUUCUCACAGGGCUUCAACCUCUUCUUCAAGUACUUGCCAUGGUGGUAUUAUUUCCGUUAUCCAUGAGACUACACAUUGCCUGUCUAUAAGCUCCAUGAGAGCAGGGGCAUAUUUUUGCUUACCUCUAUGCCAGUGCCUGGCCUCAAGAAAAGCACUCAAUAAAUAUAUUUUGAAUGAAUGAAUGAACUGCUGUCAUCGGCUUUGCAGUGGGUUCAUCCAGCAGCUCUUAUCUGACUGUUCAUCAGCACAGUGACCCUGAUUGACCACGAGCUAUGAUUCUCACAUGGCUCCAAGGAAUGUGCUGCCUGCAGACAUGGUUUAGUAUGAACAGAUGAUUCACUGAGUGACCUGAAGGGAUAAAUAUUUGCCAUUUAUUUAUCUGACUGAAGACUUAUCUUGGAUAUGUAACUUGUGGCCAUAAAUUGAUAAAGAUACCAACAAUACACCAGGAAAAAUGGGCAAAAGAUUUGACCAAGCACUUCCCAAAAAAAGAUAACCACCCUGGAGCAGCAAAUGGCAACCCACUCCAGU